CUAGGGCCACACCUGUGGCAUAUGGAGGUUCCCAGGCUAGGGGUUGAAUCAGAGCUGUAGCUGCGAGCCUACACCACAGCCACAGCAACGCAGGACCUGAGCCAUGUCUGCGACCUACACCACAGCUCAUGGCAACGCCAGAUCCUUAACCUGCUGAGCAAGGCCAGGGAUCCAACCCACAACCUCAUGGUUCCUAGUUGGAUUCGUUAACCACUGAGCCAUGAAGAGAACUCCGUUAUUUUUUACUUUAGGGUGAAGAAGCAAAUGCAGAAAGGGCCUGUGACAUUGUUACAUUCACGCGUCCACUGUCAGUGUAUUAAUAGGACAAAAAUAAGGGGACAGGGCUAACAAUAUGCCAGUUUCUUUACUGUCUAGAGCUCUGUGUGACUAUAAUAUGCCAUUUUAGCUAAUAAGCUAGAACUGGUUGUCACCUUGGGAAGAUACACAUAAAUUCCAUUAAUGCAGCAACACAUUAUAGCUCCUGCUUGAAACAACCUCAAGAAUCCAAAAAUGUCCUGAUUAACAGCAAAUUGUGGGUUUUUUUGUUUGUUUUUUUGGGGGUUUUUUUGGAAAUAGCCAAAUAUCAUGUAGGCUUAAAAUUGGAUGGAUAAUUUGAUCAUCACAGGCAUAAUGUCACCCAUAGUCUAAAAAGAAACUUGACUCUAAUUAAAUGACACCAACGACUCAAGGCAUUUCGUACAGCGUUACAGUUUUUGAGCAGUGGCGGUGUCUUUAGAGCAAGUGGGUAGUCAACUAACGUGACUCCUUUAAUAGACAGUUACUUAGUUGAUAGAAGGACUUUGGAAUGUUUAUCAAAUUAAAACUAUGACGUUGAUUCAGAAUGGAUAAUUUCUUUUUUUGUGUGUGUGUCUUUUUUGCUAUUUCUUGGGUCGCUCCCGCGGCAUAUGGAGGUUCCCAGGCUAGGGGUUGAAUCGGAGCUGUAGCCACCGGCCUACACCAGAGCCACAGCAACACGGGAUCCGAGCCGCGUCUGCAACCUACACCACAGCUCACGGCAACGCCGGAUGGUUAACCCACUGAGCAAGGGCAGGGACCGAACCCGCAACCUCAUGGUUCCUAGUCGGAUUUGUUAACCACUGCGCCAUGACGGGAACUCCCAGAAUGGAUAAUUUCUUUCACCUUUUUAUAAAGCCUUCUAACAUUCUCUGGACUUUCUUUGGGUCUUUGGUUUGCCCAAGGCUUGUUUGUGUUUUUCACUGUGUUGUUUUCACAUGUGGGUUUCUUUGUUUCUCACGUUCUCAUUUCUCAGAGCAAGGAGAAGGCAUUGAGAUUGAAGACAGCGAGUCUAACUGGGAUGGCUGAGACAAACCAGAGGAAGGAGGACGUUUCAGUCGAAAUGUAGCUGCUACUUUUCAGUCUAUGGCAAAAUAUGUUUGGGUUUUUCUUUGCCUUUGGGAACUUUGUGGAUCCCCUUAAAUUUUUGGUAAAAAUAAGUUGCAUCAUCUUAUCAAGCAUCUUAUCAAUCUUUUCAGGUAACACAGAUCCCUCUCCUAAAUAGGGUAACAUCGCCUUUCCCUCUUGGUGGCAUUUCAUUCGUAUAACAAGCACUGUAUGACAUGAUGAACAAAUUUCAGCACUGACACUUCCUGAGUCAUCACAGAUCUUUAAUUAAGGGUGUCUACAUUUCGAGGCUGUUACUGAGACAUACGUAUUAAAUACUACUCAUCUGAGAUCUUGAGGUCCAUGUGAAAACUUAGCUGUGUCUGGCAACAAUCGUACUUUAUCUUAAUUUUAAGCACCUAGACAUUAUAACCUGGUACUUGAAAGGAUAAAAAUAAGUUAACAUUUUGCCUAAAGCUUUCCACCGUUUUUCAUUCACUUUCUUAUAUUUUCUGCUAAGUUUCAUAAACAAAAGUUUACUUAAAGUGGAUGAGCAGGAGUUCCCCUCGUGACUCAGUGGAAAUGAAUCUGACUAGUAUCCAUGAGGAUGCAGGUUCAAUCCCUGGCCUCACUCAGUGGGUUAAGGAUCCAGCAUUGCUGUGGCUGUGAUAUGGGCCAGAGGCUACAGCUCCGAUUGGGUCCCUAGCCUGGGAAACUCCAUAUGCCAAAAGUGCAGCCCUAAAAAGACAAUAAAUAAAUAAGAACUGGAUAUUUGGAUUCGAGUGAUAAAAAAUAUAUUAUUUGUCUUAUUCUUUAACAUGGGUGAUUUUAGCACUGCAUUUGUUAAAUAGCUCCUCUUCCUAUGGCCUCGAUUCAAGAGGUAACAUGUUCUUUAAAAAACAUAGCUUUAAUGUUUGAUGUCCUUAGUGGAUAAAUAACUGCAGAAGGUAAGUAUCAUGACACACAAUUGCAUUGGGAAAGCUAUUUGAAUUAUUGGGGCUAGAGAGAGUUCAUUCAUAAGACUCCUACCUACAAGUAACAUUAUGUAAGCAGAAAUAGAAUUGAACUUCCCGUGCAGAGCAAACUUCAUUUUAUAGCUAGUUAUCAUUUUUCACAUUUUCAAAUUUUCUUUUUCAAUGCGUAUACAAUUUCCAAAGAAAACCAUACGUUCUGCCUUUCUUCUGGAAGCAUGUGUCUUCUUUCCCUUUGAGUUGCUUGUGAUUGGGCAUAAUCCACGCACGGCUUGAAAUUCUAACAUUUUUGCUUCGGUGUAGAAAAUAAUCGUGGCUAUUUGGAUCAGGAUAUCAAAAUUUCCUCUGCUCUGUUCUUAAGUCCUAGUUCUGAUUCCUUGAUCAUGCUGCAGCUCAUGGUUUUGUUAGAUUUCC
rnacentral:lncRNA from 1 species